rnacentral:rRNA from 1 species
GACGAACGCUGGCGGCGUGCUUAACACAUGCAAGUCGAACGGUAAGGCCCUUCGGGGUACACGAGUGGCGAACGGGUGAGUAACACGUGGGUGAUCUGCCCUGCACUUCGGGAUAAGCCUGGGAAACUGGGUCUAAUACCGGAUAGGACCACUGCCUGCAUGGGUGGUGGUGGAAAGCUUUUGCGGUGUGGAAUGGGCCCGCGGCCUAUCAGCUUGUUGGUGGGGUGAUGGCCUACCAAGGCGACGACGGGUAGCCGGCCUGAGAGGGUGACCGGCCACACUGGGGCUGAGAUACGGCCCAGACUCCUACGGGAGGCAGCAGUGGGGAAUAUUGCACAAUGGGCGCAAGCCUGAUGCAGCGACGCCGCGUGAGGGAUGACGGCCUUCGGGUUGUAAACCUCUUUCAGCACCGACGAAGCGCAAGUGACGGUAGGUGCAGAAGAAGGACCGGCCAACUACGUGCCAGCCGCCGCAGUAA